rnacentral:misc_RNA from 1 species
GGGGGGGUGAGGUACUCAGGUGUAUGUUGGCCUCCCGUUCCUUGUUGUGCGGUUGGUUUAAAUUUGGGGUCCUUGGCGGCAUGCGUCGUUGAUGAGUUAUAUCAUAAACAACGUUUGUCUCUUGUUGGCAGGUGAGCCCCCUGGUCCCAUGGCUUCCUUGACACUUAGUUGGACUUGCCAUUUCGACCCC